rnacentral:rRNA from 1 species
AUUGAACGCUGGCGGCAUGCUUUACACAUGCAAGUCGAACGGCAGCGCGGGGCAACCUGGCGGCGAGUGGCGAACGGGUGAGUAAUAUAUCGGAACGUACCCAGAAGUGGGGGAUAACGUAGCGAAAGUUACGCUAAUACCGCAUACGAUCUACGGAUGAAAGUGGGGGACCUUCGGGCCUCAUGCUUUUGAAGCGGCCGAUAUCUGAUUAGCUAGUUGGUGAGGUAAAGGCUCACCAAGGCGACGAUCAGUAGCUGGUCUGAGAGGACGACCAGCCACACUGGGACCGAGACACGGCCCAGACUCCUACGGGAGGCAGCAGUGGGGAAUUUUGGACAAUGGGCGCAAGCCUGAUCCAGCAAUGCCGCGUGAGUGAAGAAGGCCUUCGGGUUGUAAAGCUCUUUUGUCAGGGAAGAAACGGCUGAGGCUAAUACCUUCGGCUAAUGACGGUACCUGAAGAAUAAGCACCGGCUAACUACGUGCCAGCCGCCGCGGUAAAAC